AUAUAUGUGUUUAUAUGAUUUUCUGACAUUUAAUGCAAAAGUAUUGAUGGCCAGGCACUAUACUGUGUAUAAACAAAAAUUCCAGUUUUUCUUUUCGUGGUUGCAGCAGUUUUUCUGUACCAAUAGUGUGACAUUACACUACUCUUCACUUUCACAGGCCAUGAAAACACUAAAUAACCUUGCAACGGAUACCCUGUGGUCUACCAUUAUAAUUAUGUGUGCAUUUUGGAUCUAUUGGAUGUCUGAAUGUAAUGCUAAUCGACAUUUACUGAUGCAAAGAUUUGCAGGGACGUAGAUAUAUAUUGUGAUGUUUCACUACGAUCUUCAAGUGUUUCAGUUCGUAUUUAGCAGGAUCACAUGUUGACCAAUGACUCUUUGUUUUCUCACUGAUCCAGUAUACUCAAGAACUUGAAUAUUGUGUUUGCUGUGAGUUAUUGACAGUUCCUUGAUUUUUGCAACUCAGGAGUGAAGAUGGCCUUCCUUUGGUAGGCGUAGUGAAUGAAUUUUCUUCUAAUUCAGGCCAUGGUUGAUACCGCUCGGCGUCUGGAUCUGGCAUGGAGUGGCUACCAUGGGCCAACCAGAGCUGGGUGCCCCUGUUUCCGACCUCGAGGCGAUUAGAUUAGAGUCUGAUUAAUUAUGUAUCAUUCGGUCCUUCCUUUGGCUAUUAAUCUAUUGUGGUCUGCUUUUCAAGCUCAUACAACAUGCUUAUAUUGAAUUAAAUUUUGUAUAGAUAGCUGUAAGAUUCUAGCGAAACAUCUUCAAGCUUAAGUUGCUGAACUGAUAUAGCAUCUUGAUACCAUACAUGUAAACUAAUUUAGGAAAUUGUAUUGUUCUGAGAUAAUUUUUUAUUUGAAAACAUUACCAACAUAGGCGUGUUACCUUCACACAGGGAAGAAGUUAUUUUGUGACCUAAAGAUAUGAUCUAUGGGCCUACCUCAAUAUCUCAGGAGUUGUCCUUUCCUUGUUAACCCUGUACACUUGACAAGGCCCAUCUGUUCAAGAAGGACUGAGCAACACGAGGAACUUCGUUGACCCAGCCGUGAGCAUAUGAUGCUCUAGCGAGUCGAUGAGGACCGUCAUGGAGAUCUGCCUGCGGGGCCUGAACAAGGAACCGAUGCUGAGGCCGUUAGACGAGGACGUGCUCUAGAACCUGCAGUUUGCAGCCCUGGUGUAGGAUGACUGGAACUGCGAGGAGUCCCCGCUCUCAUCGUCACAGAUCCGUGCGCAAUCCGCAGAGUACUAACCUCUAGCCUGGCUGAGAAAAAAUAUUGGCAAGCAUUACCAUUAUGAUCCUCCAUCGAUCAUCAUUGUUGAAGGAAUUUCUGUUUCUCUUCAUAUAGGAUACAGAUAUGUGAU